rnacentral:rRNA from 1 species
CACGUAGGCGGUAUUGCAAGUCGGAUGUGAAAUCCCUCGGCUUAACCAAGGAAGUGCAUCCGAAACUGCCGUACUUGAGUACUUAAGAGGAUCGCGGAAUUCCCGGUGUAGAGGUGAAAUUCGUAGAUAUCGGGAGGAACACCAGUGGCGAAGGCGGCGAUCUGGGAAGAUACUGACGCUGAGGUGCGAAAGCGUGGGGAGCAAACA